rnacentral:rRNA from 1 species
GAUGAACGCUGGCGGCGUGCCUAAUACAUGCAAGUCGAGCGAACAGACGAGGAGCUUGCUCCUCUGACGUUAGCGGCGGACGGGUGAGUAACACGUGGAUAACCUACCUAUAAGACUGGGAUAACUUCGGGAAACCGGAGCUAAUACCGGAUAAUAUAUUGAACCGCAUGGUUCAAUAGUGAAAGACGGUUUUGCUGUCACUUAUAGAUGGAUCCGCGCCGCAUUAGCUAGUUGGUAAGGUAACGGCUUACCAAGGCGACGAUGCGUAGCCGACCUGAGAGUGUGAUCGGCCACACUGGAACUGAGACACGGUCCAGACUCCUACGGGAGGCAGCAGUAGGGAAUCUUCCGCAAUGGACGAAAGCCUGACGGAGCAACGCCGCGUGAGUGAUGAAGGUCUUCGGAUCGUAAAACUCUGUUAUUAGGGAAGAACAAAUGUGUAAGUAACUAUGCACGUCUUGACGGUACCUAAUCAGAAAGCCACGGCUAACUACGUG